UACGUAGGUGACAAGCGUUGUCCGGAUUUACUGGGCGUAAAGAGCGCGCAGGCGGUCGUUCAAGUCGAGUGUGAAAGCCCCCGGCUCAACUGGGGAGGGUCAUUCGAUACUGAUCGACUCGAAGGCAGGAGAGGGAAGUGGAAUUCCCGGUGUAGUGGUGAAAUGCGUAGAUAUCGGGAGGAACACCAGUGGCGAAGGCGACUUCCUGGCCUGUUCUUGACGCUGAGGCGCGAAAGCUAGGGGGAGCAAACGGGG
rnacentral:rRNA from 1 species